CCUCUCCCCUGAUGACCUGCACUGGGCUCUGAGUGUGUGUGGUGACAAACGUGCAUCUCCGGCCCUGACAAGCCGGAGCUUCUGAGGAGACA
rnacentral:snoRNA from 1 species